rnacentral:tRNA from 1 species
GGUGACUCAGUGGUAGAGCACUUGCCUUGCAUGCAUGAGGCCCUGAGUUCGAUCUCUCAGCACCA